UCGACCAGCUAUCACAUCUCAGUAUACUUCAACGUAAAGAUCUAAUCUUAAAAAAACAAAAUGUCUGACUCUGAAGAAGAUCAAACCGCUCUGGUGUGCGACAACGGGUCAGGAUUAGUGAAAUCUGGAUUUGCUGGAGAUGACGCACCUCGUGCUGUCUUCCCAUCUAUCGUUGGACGACCAAGACAUCAGGGAGUCAUGGUCGGUAUGGGUCAAAAAGACAGCUAUGUUGGAGACGAAGCACAAAGCAAGCGAGGUAUUCUUACCUUGAAAUACCCCAUUGAGCACGGUAUUAUCAAAGAUCUGGCAUCACACUUUCUACAACGAGCUACGAGUUGCACCAGAAGAACACCCAACUUUGCUCACAGAAGCUCCACUUAACCCCAAAGCUAACCGAGAAAAGAUGACACAGAUCAUGUUCGAAACGUUUAACGUCCCAGCCAUGUACGUCGCCAUCCAAGCUGUACUUUCCCUGUAUGCAUCAGGACGUACAACAGGUAUCGUGUUGGAUUCUGGUGAUGGUGUUUCACACAAUGUUCCAAUCUACGAGGGCUACGCUCUCCCUCACGCCAUUGCUCGAUUGGAUUUAGCCGGUCGAGAUCUUACUGAUUAUUUGAUGAAAAUUCUCACUGAGAGAGGAUACUCCUUUGUAACAACAGCUGAACGCGAAAUCGUCCGAGAUAUCAAAGAGAAGCUCUGUUACGUUGCGCUUGACUUCGAGCAAGAAAUGGCCACUGCUGCUUCUUCGACUUCGUUGGAAAAAAGUUAUGAAUUACCCGACGGUCAAGUUAUCACCAUUGGCAAUGAAAGAUUCAGAUGUCCAGAAACACUCUUCCAACCUUCGUUUAUCGGUAUGGAAUCGGCUGGAAUCCACGAGACAACCUACAACUCCAUCAUGAAGUGCGACAUUGACAUCCGAAAGGAUCUUUACGCCAACAACGUCCUCUCCGGAGGUACAACCAUGUACCCUGGUAUCGCUGACAGAAUGCAGAAGGAGAUCACUGCUCUCGCUCCCAGCACCAUGAAGAUCAAGAUCAUUGCUCCUCCAGAGAGGAAAUACUCCGUCUGGAUCGGAGGAUCCAUCCUCGCUUCACUUUCCACCUUCCAACAGAUGUGGAUCACUAAACAAGAAUACGACGAAGCUGGCCCUUCAAUCGUACACAGAAAAUGUUUCUAAUUAUUCUAUACUGGAAACAAUGAACACAAUUUAUUUAUUUUUGAGGUCAUUUUUUUGUUUUGUUACUGCAAAAUUAUUUUGUAGCAAAUUGACAAAUAAAUAAACCUAAGUAUCUUCAUAUCUGAAAAACUUA